GCGAGCUUCGGGCCGGUAGGGGCGUGAAUACUAAGGGGGCUGGAUUGGCUCGGGUUGACCGGGCGGAAAGUGCGCGUAGGCGGACAGCUUAGUCAGGGGUGAAAGCCCGGGGCUCAACCUCGGAAUGGCCUUUGAGACGGGCUGUGUUGAGUACGGGAGAGGUGUGUGGAACUCCGAGUGUAGAGGUGAAAUUCGUAGAUAUUCGGAAGAACACCAGUGGCGAAGGCGACACACUGGCCCGUUACUGACGCUGAGGCGCGAAAGCGUGGGGAGCAAACAGGAUUAGAUACCCUUGUAGUC
rnacentral:rRNA from 1 species